rnacentral:rRNA from 1 species
UCCUAGCCGUAAACGAUGGGUACUAGUUGUAGGAGGUAUCGACCCCCCCUGUGCCGGAGCUAACGCAAUAAGUACCCCGCCUGGGGAGUACGGUCGCAAGGCUUAAACUCAAAAGAAUUGACGGGGGCCCGCACAAGCGGUGGAGUAUGUGGUUUAAUUCGACGCAACGCGAAGAACCUUACCGAGGCUUGACAUUGAGUGAAAAUCCUAGAGAUAGGACCUCUCUUUCGAGA